AUUGAACGCUGGCGGCAUGCCUUACACAUGCCAGUCGAACGGCAGCACGGGUGCUUGCACCUGGUGGCGAGUGGCGAACGGGUGAGUAAUACAUCGGAACAUGUCCUGUAGUGGGGGAUAGCCCGGCGAAAGCCGGAUUAAUACCGCAUACGAUCUACGGAUGAAAGCGGGGGACCUUCGGGCCUCGCGCUAUAGGGUUGGCCGAUGGCUGAUUAGCUAGUUGGUGGGGUAAAGGCCUACCAAGGCGACGAUCAGUAGCUGGUCUGAGAGGACGACCAGCCACACUGGGACUGAGACACGGCCCAGACUCCUACGGGAGGCAGCAGUGGGGAAUUUUGGACAAUGGGCGAAAGCCUGAUCCAGCAAUGCCGCAUGUGUGAAGAAGGCCUUCGGGUUGUAAAGCACUUUUGUCCGGAAAGAAAUCCUUGGCCCUAAUACGGUCGGGGGAUGACGGUACCGGAAGAAUAAGCACCGGCUAACUACGUG
rnacentral:rRNA from 1 species